AUUGAACGCUGGCGGCAUGCCUUACACAUGCAAGUCGAACGGCAGCACGGGUGCUUGCACCUGGUGGCGAGUGGCGAACGGGUGAGUAAUACAUCGGAACAUGUCCUGUAGUGGGGGAUAGCCCGGCGAAAGCCGGAUUAAUACCGCAUACGAUCCACGGAUGAAAGCGGGGGACCUUCGGGCCUCGCGCUAUAGGGUUGGCCGAUGGCUGAUUAGCUAGUUGGCGGGGUAAAGGCCUACCAAGGCGACGAUCAGUAGCUGGUCUGAGAGGACGACCAGCCACACUGGGACUGAGACACGGCCCAGACUCCUACGGGAGGCAGCAGUGGGGAAUUUUGGACAAUGGGCGAAAGCCUGAUCCAGCAAUGCCGCGUGUGUGAAGAAGGCCUUCGGGUUGUAAAGCACUUUUGUCCGGAAAGAAAUCCUUGGCUCUAAUACAGUCGGGGGAUGACGGUACCGGAAGAAUAAGCACCGGCUAACUACGUG
rnacentral:rRNA from 1 species